rnacentral:rRNA from 1 species
GACGCUGGCGGCGUGCCUAAUACAUGCAAGUCGAACGGUCUUUCUAUGGAAGCUUGCUUCCACUGAGAAGAUAGUGGCGAACGGGUGAGUAACACGUGGGUAACCUGCCCAUAAGAGGGGGAUAACAUCCGGAAACGGGUGCUAAUACCGCAUAGUUUCUUGAUCGCAUGAUCGGGAAAGGAAAGACGGCCUUUGUGCUGUCGCUUAUGGAUGGACCCGCGGCGUAUUAGUUAGUUGGUGAGGUAACGGCUCACCAAGACGAUGAUACGUAGCCGACCUGAGAGGGUGAUCGGCCACAUUGGGACUGAGACACGGCCCAAACUCCUACGGGAGGCAGCAGUAGGGAAUCUUCCGCAAUGGACGAAAGUCUGACGGAGCAACGCCGCGUGAGUGAAGAAAAGGUUUUCGGAUCGUAAAACUCUGUUGUCAGAGACGAACAAGUUGGAGAGUAACUGCUCCAGCCUUGACGGUAUCUGACCAGAAAGCCACGGCUAACUACGUGCCAGCCGCCGC